rnacentral:lncRNA from 1 species
GGCCUGUCCCUAGAGUGCUGCCUGCGCAGGGACCCCCUGCUCGAGAAGUUGGGGUGGGGGGCCAGGUGCCGGGCCUGCCCUCCUGGGUGGCCACGCAGCCUCCUCCUUCCUGUAGCCUCUCUUCAAACACAGGCUUUGCCUCCUGACUCCCACUUCCAACCCUCCACCCAUCCACACCGCAUGUGGCACAGGAGCCACACUCUCCUUGGCUUCAGGCCCUUAUGGUCCUCAAGGACAUUCCCGCCAUCACUGCCUGUGUCUCACCUGCACAUUCCACUCCAGCUACACCAGCUCCCGCUGUCUUAAAACCCAGUGUUCCCACCCCAGGGCCUUUGCACUUGCCAUUCUCUCCAUUUAUAGGGCUCCUCUCACACCCUUCCUGAGUGUCCCUUCCAGUCCUUCUGGCCGUGGCUCACAUGGCACCUCCCUGAGGAGGCUGUCCUUGACCACCUUCUCUGAGCUACUCCCACUGUCUCAAUCACCCCUCUUUCUUUUUUCUUUAAUAAGGUGUAAUUCACGAACCACAAAACUCACCCUUCUAAAGUGUGCUUUCGACAGUGGGCAGCUCACUGGUUCCUAGUGUAGUCACGGGGUUGGACGGCCACCACCACCACCUAGUUCCAGACUGUUUUCAACAUCCCCCACAGAACCACCUCCCACUAGCCGUGGCUCCCUGGUCCCCUCCCCUUGGCCCUGGCCACCACCCAUCUCCUUCCCGUCUGUGGAGUCACCUGCUCUGGGCAUGGGUGGCAGCUAGUCGUGCGGCACGUGGCCCUCGGGUCUGGCUCCUUUCCCUUAG